AUUCUGUAAAACACGACACCCCGCAUCUCUGCCAUUUUCCCAGAGUGAAUAGGCUGCAGUCAGUGACCCACAUCUCACUGUGCAAUGAACUGCUUAACUCAGACUGUUGUUUUAUUCAGUGCUCUGUCAACAGACGGUGAGGGGGAGGAGGGGAAGACGUCGGCCGCUCGCGCUCACAGCCCAUUCUGAUUGGCCGCUGGGCUCAUCCUCGCUUUCUGAUUGGCUGCCGGCUCCGUCACUCCAGAUCUGUUAUCGCCGCUUUCCGCGCCAUUCGGCGUGCACGCGCAGGCGAAGCAGGGCACGUAACCAUUGGGAGACUGUCUGGAGUCUGUCUGAAAUUGAUAAAAUUGGAAAUGGAGUUUUACAUCUCUUUGGUCGUUUUGCAAGGAGGCCGCCUGCUGGAAAAUGGAAUAUUUGACUCUCCUCCUCAGACGCCUUCGCCCACGGGUCGCCACGCUCAGCCAAAAAAUAUUUUGGAGAUAAACGCUGUGAAAGUUUUUUUUUCCUCCUGCAGUCUGUCAGCAGACAGCUCUUUAUGCUCAGGGGAUCAGCUCUAAGCCAUGGAGUUCAAGAGGAGUGCACCAUCCUAGGGGAGGCAGCCUGCAGGAGCUCACUCAAAGGAGAUCCGUAUGUUCUCGCAGCCUGUCGUCCCCUCACGAC